CAGUCGAGGGGUAACAUGGGUAGCAAUACCUGAUGACGACUGGCAAACGGGUGCGGAACACGUACGCAACCUUCCCAUAACUGGUGAAUAGCCUUCCGAAAGGGAGAUUAAUACACCGUAACAUAACGAAGUGGCAUCACUUUGUUAUUAUAGGCUUCGGCCGGUUUUGGAUGGGCGUGCGCCUGAUUAGGUAGUUGGCGGGGUAACGGCCCACCAAGCCUGCGAUCAGUAACUGGUGUGAGAGCACGACCAGUCACACGGGCACUGAGACACGGGCCCGACUCCUACGGGAGGCAGCAGUAAGGAAUAUUGGUCAAUGGACGAAAGUCUGAACCAGCCAUGCCGCGUGAAGGAUGAAGGCCCUCUGGGUUGUAAACUUCUUUUAUCUGGGACGAAAAAAGCUCAUUCUUGAGCACUUGACGGUACCAGAGGAAUAAGCACCGGCUAACUCCGUGCCAGCAGCCGCGGUAAUACGGAGGGUCCAAGCGUUAUCCGGAUUCACUGGGUUUAAAGGGUGCGUAGGUGGGUCUGUAAGUCAGUGGUGAAAUCUCCGAGCUUAACUCGGAAACUGCCAUUGAUACUAUAGAUCUUGAAUCAUCUGGAGGUAAGCGGAAUAUGUCAUGUAGCGGUGAAAUGCUUAGAUAUGACAUAGAACACCGAUUGCGAAGGCAGCUGGCUACACAAGCAUUGACGCUGAGGCACGAAAGCGUGGGGAUCAAACAGGAUUAGAUACCCUGGUAGUCCACGCCCUAAACUAUGGAUACUCGACAUUUGCGAUACACAGUAAGUGUCUGAGCGAAAGCAUUAAGUAUCC
rnacentral:rRNA from 1 species